AAAAGUGGGAAAAAGGUCAAGUGCCGGAGUACUAGGCUGGACAAUUAUCAAGUAGUCCUUCUUUCGAAAGGAUCAAGAUCUAUUCAGCGCUAUGCCAAUAAGCCGAAAAGGAUAGUGGUAUGUGUGCAAAUGCGCUCCAUAUGGAAAUGCUACAUGAUGUGUGCGCAGACCUCAAUGGCAAACGAAAGAAAAUGGAAAUCGUCCUGCACUUGACAAAAAGAAGAAGAAAUUAAGCCAAGCUGACCACCAUUUUCACUAGCCCGAAUCGACUGUUUCACCGGCCCUUCGUUGGACAGUAAAAAGAACUUCUUCUGUCUUAGAGUUGAUCGUUAGCCAGUUUUCAAGAAACAAAAACAAAACAAAACAAAAAACUAAGCAGACGACAGAGUACUAGAUCGAGGUUUGGCAUGCAUGCGAGCUUUGGGUCUAAACGGGCAAUGAUCGCGGCACGUAGGAGCAGUGCAUGGAGAAAUGAUUGGCUUUUCGAGUUGGUACCAACCAUAAUGCUCGAUCGAGGAGGAUGGACGGCAUGAUUGCAGAGGGCGUGCUCGCAACCCCGCAUUGGUAGGGGAAGAAAAAAAGGCCAGUUCAAGUAUCCAUUCAUGCG
rnacentral:lncRNA from 1 species